rnacentral:rRNA from 1 species
AGUGAACGCUGGCGGCGUGCUUAACACAUGCAAGUUGAACGGGAUUACAGAGCCCGCAAGGGUUUUGUAAUUUAGUGGCAAACGGGUGAGUAACACGUGGGAAAUCUCCCCAAAAGAGAGGGACAACCUGCCGAAAGGCGGGCUAAUACCUCAUAAGAUCACAGUUCGGCAUCGAACAGGGAUCAAAGUAGUAAUACACUUUUGGAUGAUCCUGCGGCCUAUCAGCUAGUUGGCGGGGUGAUGGCCCACCAAGGCUAUGACGGGUAUCCGGCCUGAAAGGGUGAUCGGACACAAUGGAACUGCGACACGGUCCAUACUCCUACGGGAGGCAGCAGUGGGGAAUUUUGGACAAUGGGCGAAAGCCUGAUCCAGCAACGCCGCGUGAAGGAUGAAGGCCUUCGGGUUGUAAACUUCUUUAGAGGGGAACGAAAUAAAUGACGGUACUCCUAGAAUAAGCCACGGCUAACUACGUGCCAGCCGCCGCGGUAA